rnacentral:rRNA from 1 species
CUACGGGCUGCUCCAGUGAGGAAUUUUGCGCAAUGGGCGAAAGCCUGACGCAGCAACGCCGCGUGAGUGAUGAAGGCCUUCGGGUCGUAAAGCUCUGUCAAGUGGGAAGAACCUAUGUAAUGUUAAUAUCAUUAUAUACUGACGGUACCACUGAAGGAAGCACCGGCUAACUCCGUGCCAGCAGCCGCGGUAAUACGGGGGGUGCAAGCGUUAUUCGGAAUCAUUGGGCGUAAAGGGCACGUAGGCGGCCUGGUAAGUCAGCUGUGAAAGCCCGGGGCUUAACCCCGGAAGUGCAUUUGAUACUGUCAGGCUUGAGUAUGGGAGAGGGAAGUGGAAUUCCUGGUGUAGAGGUGAAAUUCGUAGAUAUCAGGAGGGACACCGGUGGCGAAGGCGACUUCCUGGACCAAUACUGACGCUGAGGUGCGAAGGCGUGGGUAGCAAACAGGAUUAGAUACCCCCGUAGUC